GACAGUCAGUGGAUGUGGAUUUUGUUUCCCAGUUCCAUCGCUGAUUUGCAGGCACAAAGGUGAAUUCACUUGCUCAAGAUCCAACACACACAAAAUGGAGGUGGUUCAAACCCAGGUGUGUCUGACUGCAGAGCCUGUGUUCUUCCCAGUAGAGAUGUGGAUGCAGCACAAAUGGUAGAAAGGACCUGAGACUUAGUCAGAAGACCUCAGUUCACCCAAGGGGAGGCUGAGGCGGGUGGAUUGCUUGAGACCAGGAGUUCGAAACCAGCCUGGGAGACAUAGUGAGAUCCCGUCUCUACAAAAAAAAGAAAAAAAAAAAGAAAGAAAGAAAAUAAAAAUUAUCCCAUGGUGGUCCUGGAAGAAACAAGGGAAGGCCCAGAAGAGUCUUCCUAACCUCUUUCCAUCAGGUUUUAACAUCACACUGAGAUGGGGAGGUAUCUGCUAUGCCCAAGGCCUCUGCUCAGUGCUGAGGAAACAAGCAUGGACAAGAUGUGGCCUCCACCCUGAGGAGCUCCUAAAUCUAGGACAGAGUAAAUCUGUUAGAAAUGUCUUCUCUGCACAUAAUUUAAGCUCUACCAACUGUUAACUUCUUUUCAUUUAUCCAAGUUUUGCCAGGUACCACACCAAUAAAAAAAGACUCCUAAACAAAAAGACCCAGUGGGAUUGCCUGACUCAGGUCUGCCAACUGGGAACAAGGAAGACAGACUGUCGGAUAGAGGGGCAGAAGAGAAGAGGAUCCAGGAGUAGAGUGACUCCUUCAAAGAAAAAAGAGGGAGUCUCUGAUGAUUCUUAAGCAAAGAG
rnacentral:lncRNA from 1 species